UGGGGAAUAUUGGGCAAUGGACGCAAGUCUGACCCAGCAACGCCGCGUGAAGGAAGAAGGCUUUCGGGUUGUAAACUUCUUUUAAGGGGGAAGAGGAGAAGACGGUACCCCUUGAAUAAGCCACGGCUAACUACGUGCCAGCAGCCGCGGUAAUACGUAGGUGGCAAGCGUUGUCCGGAUUUACUGGGUGUAAAGGGCGUGCAGCCGGGCCGACAAGUCAGAUGUGAAAUCCGCGGGCUUAACCCGCGAACUGCAUUUGAAACUAUAGGUCUUGAGUGCCGGAGAGGUAAUCGGAAUUCCUUG
rnacentral:rRNA from 1 species